UACGGAGGGGGCUAGCGUUGUUCGGAUUUACUGGGCGUAAAGCGCGCGUAGGCGGCUUUGCAAGUUAGAGGUGAAAGCCCGGAGCUUAACUCCGGAACUGCCUUUAAAACUGCAUCGCUUGAAUCAUGGAGAGGUUAGUGGAAUUCCGAGUGUAGAGGUGAAAUUCGUAGAUAUUCGGAAGAACACCAGUGGCGAAGGCGACUAACUGGACAUGUAUUGACGCUGAGGUGCGAAAGCGUGGGGAGCAAACAGG
rnacentral:rRNA from 1 species